rnacentral:lncRNA from 1 species
UGCUGCUGAUGGGAAACCAGAUCUGCCAUGCCCGAUUCCUUGACCCAUUGCUCUGCUAGUGUAGAAAGUAGUAGGUCCUUUUUCUCUCUCAUCUGAACCAUCAGUCAAUCCUCUGACGAUGCCAACAUCUGCAAGGUUGACCUUUUUGGCUGCAUUUUCGGGGGGGAAAGGAGUAAGUUCAAAAGGUACAUACCAUCAGGUAACCAGAAAAGUUGAGUCGAGCAAGCUACAAUGCCAACAUCUGCAAGGUUGACCUUUUUGGCUGCAUUUUAGGGGGAAAGGAGUAAGUUCAAAAGGUAUAUAUCAUCAGGUAACCAGAAAAGUUGAGUCGAGCAAGACAAAAAGCUUCAGUAUACCACUUAGUAGUAUUUUGUCAUUCAAGUUGUUACAUCUUUUCAACAUGUACACAAGUGUGGUCAAACCAUCAAAAUAUUGGGAGCAAUCGGCACAAUUCAUGUAGUCGAUA